CGUCGUACAGCAAACAUGGCGGCCUCCAGUGGAAAAACCGUGGGAUAUUUUCUUUGGAAAUUCGAAAAUUGCUGCUUCAAUUUUAACACAGUCUCGUCAAAUUUAACUGGCCAGGUAAUGCCAAGAGUUUAAUUCGGUAUGUUUUCACGGUAAUGUCAACGGGGUUGAGCUGCAGAGAAGGUGCUGUCCAGACAGCUAUAUGUGAGUGCUGUUCUCCACAGGAAGAACCUGGCUGCAGCGGGCCCAGAGAUGUUCUCAGAGGAGUUCAUCAAGAAGCAGGUGGAGGAGUUCAACAUCGGGAAGAGACAUCUAGCCAACAUGAUGUGAGAGGACCCUGAGACCUUCACUCAGGGGGACAUUCAUAGAAGCAUUGCAUACCCGUUCCCCUCAUACCCGUUCCCCUCAUACCUGUU